rnacentral:rRNA from 1 species
AUUGAACGCUGGCGGCAUGCCUUACACAUGCAAGUCGAACGGCAGCACGGGGCAACCUGGUGGCGAGUGGCGAACGAGUGAGUAAUGCAUCGGAACGUACCUUUCAGUGGGGGAUAACGUAGCGAAAGUUACGCUAAUACCGCAUAUUCUGUGAGCAGGAAAGCAGGGGAUCGCAAGACCUCGCGCUGAUUGAGCGGCCGAUGUCAGAUUAGCUAGUUGGUGAGGUAAAGGCUCACCAAGGCGACGAUCUGUAGCGGGUCUGAGAGGAUGAUCCGCCACACUGGAACUGAGACACGGUCCAGACUCCUACGGGAGGCAGCAGUGGGGAAUUUUGGACAAUGGGGGCAACCCUGAUCCAGCCAUGCCGCGUGAGUGAAGAAGGCCUUCGGGUUGUAAAGCUCUUUCGGCCGGGAAGAAAUCGCACGGGCUAAUACCCUGUGUGGAUGACGGUACCGGAAUAAGAAGCACCGGCUAACUACGUGCCAGCCGCCGCCGUAAGAC